rnacentral:sRNA from 1 species
GACCUUGUCGGACGGCAUCAUAAUGUCGGGGAUGGGCAGCCGCACGCAGUCCGCCCCUUCCUCGAUCAGGGCCGCGUCAUCCGUUUUCAGUCGCCGUCACGGUCGUCG